GUGAAUCAUCGAAUCUUUGAACGCACCUUGCGCCCUUUGGCUAUUCCGAAGGGCAUGCCUGUUUGAGUAUCAUGAACACCUCAACUCUCAUGGUUUGCCAUGACGAGCUUGGACUUUGGAGGUUUUGCUGGCGUAACGUUCGGCUCCUCUCAAAUAAAUCAGCUUUCCAGUGUCUGGUGGCAUCACAGGUGUGAUAACUAUCUACGCUUGUGGUCGCCUUCUGGGUAACCUUCAGUGAUGGAGGUUCGCUGGAGCUUAUAAACGUCUCUCCUCAGCGAGGACAGCUUUUUUAACGUUCGAUCUCAAAUCAGGUAGGACUACCCGCUGAACUUAAGCAUAUCAAUAAGCGGAGG
rnacentral:rRNA from 1 species